AUUGAACGCUGGCGGCAUGCCUUACACAUGCAAGUCGAACGGUAACAGGUUAAGCUGACGAGUGGCGAACGGGUGAGUAAUGUAUCGUAACGUGCCCAGUCGUGGGGGAUAACUGCUCGAAAGAGCAGCUAAUACCGCAUACGAACUGAGGGUGAAAGCGGGGGAUCGCAAGACCUCGCGCGAUUGGAGCGGCCGAUAUCAGAUUAGGUAGUGGGUGGGGUAAAGGCCUACCAAGCCUACGAUCUGUAGCUGGUCUGAGAGGACGACCAGCCACACUGGGACUGAGACACGGCCCAGACUCCUACGGGAGGCAGCAGUGGGGAAUUUUGGACAAUGGACGCAAGUCUGAUCCAGCCAUGCCGCGUGCGGGAAGAAGGCCUUCGGGUUGAAAACCGCUUUUGUCAGGGAAGAAAAGGUUCUGGUUAAUACCUGGGACUCAUGACGGUACCUGAAGAAUAAGCACCGGCUAACUACGUGCCAGCCGCCGCAGUAAAAC
rnacentral:rRNA from 1 species